GGGCGCAUAGCUCAGGCGGUAAGAGCGCACGCCUGAUAAGCGUGAGGUCGGUGGUUCGAGUCCACCUGUGCCCACCA
rnacentral:tRNA from 1 species